GUUAGUGACAGUGGUUAGGAAACUGUGCAAGGGCAGUUGAGUUAGCAGUGGAGUUAGUUACAGAGACUAGUGGGGUGACAGCUGUGAGGUGUGGUUUAAAAGACCAAGGAGUUGUACAAUGGUCAACUAAGCAAAUUGUGAAUCUGAAUACAGUCUUUCUUUUUCUUCUUUCUUUUUCUUUUCCCAAUUCUUGGAGGCAUAGUUGACUCCAAACCCAGCUGGAUUCACAUCCAGUGCAAUAGCUAGGGUAUUGCACGGGGUGCAAUAGCUUUAAUAUCAGCCAUGGAUUAAAUCUAAUGCUCAGAAAAUUGACACGUUAUAUCUCCACGCUGGCAAUCCGCGUGCUUCAAUUUUUCUCCUCUCUUUUUUUUCGCUCUUUUCACUUCAGCAAUUCAGCUUUCCCAAAUAUGAGUUUCAAAGAAAAAAAAAGAAUCUCUUGGAGACUCUAAAUCCAUGGCCGAAUCUCAGUGGGCCUCAGCUCAUCCCACACCACCACCACCGGCGAUGCUUCCCGGUCUAGGCUUCUCCUCUUUCAAGUCUUGAGGGAGAUUCGUCAUAUUGAGAAAUGCGCCAAGCUAUUCUUCAAAAUUGGUUAAAUCAUUCAGGAGAGAUUCAUCUUGUGUAAUGGAAAAAUCAAAACAAAUUGAAGUUUCGAAUGGACUUGUCUCGGCCAUGGCAUCAUUCAGGAGAUUCAUCUCUUGCCAUUCAUCUCUUGCCUUCCAUCGUUGCCAUUGUAUAAUUGAAUUGCAGUGCAAGUUGUAUUUUCAUGUAGUAACUGAUUUUUUGUGUUGAUGAAUAGAUGAAAUGUAAACAAAUUUGUUUUGCAAAUAGCAUGUUGUGAUGGAGUUCUAUUA